CGAAUUGAGGAAUGCAACGUAACAGUAAAAAUAUUUAGUUACAAGUGGUAAGGAGAGUGGACACACGUAAUUCUUGGUUGAUGUUGCGAAUAUUCGUUAAAAUUAGUGAAAAGUAUUUCUUAAAUUGCGUUUUUAUUUAAAUUAAUGUUAAAAUCGUUCAUAAAUGCAAAAAAAAGUGUCGUGAAUUAGUAGUGGCUUAAAUUCGUCGAAAUUACCAGUGUCUAUAAUGUGCAAAUUCCUUAAGUGCGUGUUCGGGUUAGUUCGCGGUUGUGUAUAUGAGUGUAAGUAUGUAUGAAUGUAACAAGUGCGUUAGUCUUUUAUCCGGUUCUCGAUUGGUUUACGUCGCGUGUGUCGGGUGGUAAGUGUGAUAGUGUUUUUAUAAAAAAAUAGCGCGUCGUGUAAUCGUUGAUAAAUAUUCCUAUUUUCAUUAUUAGGCCAGAAAUAUAUAUAGCAGCCCUCGUGUGCAUUGCCAAGGCAAAUUCAAAAGAGCUUGAUCUUCAUCCCGCAAGCUUAUACAAGUGGGAAAAGUGCGCACAGCAAAGGAUGGCAAAUGAAAAAAGCGAAAUGAAAAAGAUGCGGCAUGUACUCAUCGUUUCCGGUGUGCGAGUGGAAAUGCUUGAAUGCUGUUAACCGUUGAGAGAGUUUGAUUUCCAUAGCAACAUAUUCGAGUCAUAAUCAUCUACAGUGAUACACAAGUCAAUUAACCACAGGCGAGUCUCACACAAAUCACUCUUCUGAAUUUAAC